UCUGUUGCUGAUUACGCUAGUGCUACUCGGCACCAAUCAGCCUGUCGAGAACGCGAAGAUAACUCCAGAACCCACUGUCGUCACUGGGCGCCAAUGCAAGUUUCACGGGUAUACUUUCAAAGACGGGGAUAUUCAGGCUCUGGUGAUCAACGAGUGUGCUGUGGCCAGAUGCAUGGUUGACCUGAAGGUCGUGAUGUACGAAACGUGCGACGACCCACCAGAUGGUUGCUUGCCACCAAAGGGGGGCUUCUAUCCCGAGUGUUGUACUCAGCCUAUUUGUUGACUCGUGACUGAAGGCAUCAGCUGCUCUCACAAGACUUGAGAAGAAAAAAGAAGGAACGGACGGAAAUGAAGUAAAAUUCAAAUAAAAACAACUUCCACAACAGAACGCUGUCUUGCAAACUACCCUCCGUGGUUUUGAUAAUGGAUCUCUGGAAUUUUCAGAAGUGUUUUGUGCUACAUAUAGUGACAUGAACAAUUCUCGUUAUGAGUGUUGUAGCUGCAGAGUGCAGCAAGCUUGGUGAAUAACAAGUAUGCACAAUACAGACGUUUGUAAAUGGG